rnacentral:siRNA from 1 species
UGUAUUCGUAGUUUGUCUCGUUGU